GACAGAGGUCUCGAGCGUUAGGCGGAAUCACUGGGCUUAAAGCGUGUGUAGGCGGACUUGUAAGUACCUUGUGAAAUCCCACGGCUCAACCGUGGAACUGCUGGGUAUACUGCGAGUCUUGAGCCACCUAGGGGCGAGCGGAACAAGUGGUGGAGCGGUGAAAUGCGUAGAUAUCACUUGGAACGCCAAUGGUGAAAACAGCUCGCUGGGGGUGUGCUGACGCUGAGACACGAAAGCCAGGGGAGCAAACGGG
rnacentral:rRNA from 1 species